UACGUAGGAUCCAAGCGUUGUCCGGAUUUACUGGGUGUAAAGGGUGCGCAGGCGGACUUGUUAGUCAGAGGUGAAAUCUCACUGCUCAACAGUGAAACUGCCUUUGAUACUGCAGGUCUUGAAUCCAGAAGAGAGUUGUGGAAUUCCGAGUGUAGCAGUGAAAUGUGUAGAUAUUCGGAAGAACACCAGCGGCGAAGGCAGCAACUUGGUCUGGUAUUGACGCUCAGGCACGAAAGCAUGGGGAUCAAACAGGAGU
rnacentral:rRNA from 1 species